CUCACCAGAGUACCAAUUGGAGGGCAAGUCUGGUGCCAGCAGCCGCGGUAAUUCCAGCUCCAAUAGCGUAUAUUAAACUUGUUGCAGUUAAAAAGCUCGUAGUUGAAUUUCAGCGUUUCGCGUGUGCCUCUUUUGGCCCAUCUCGUCUCGCUUUUUUUAUUACUUUGAGAAAAUUAGAGUGUUUCAAGCAGGCUUUUGUCUUGAAUACUUGAGCAUGGAAUAAUAGAGUAGGACCUUGGUUCUAUUUUGUUGGUUUUGUUACCUUGGUAAUGGUUAAUAGGAACGGUUGGGGGCAUUCGUAUUUAACUGUCAGAGGUGAAAUUCUUAGAUUUGUUAAAGACGAACUACUGCGAAAGCAUUUGCCAAGGACGUUUCCAUUAAUCAAGAACGAAAGUUAGGGGAUCGAAGACGAUCAGAUACCGUCGUAGUCCUAACCAUAAACUAA
rnacentral:rRNA from 1 species